rnacentral:rRNA from 1 species
CAGCAGCCGCCGCGGGAAUACGUAGGGUGCAAGCGUUAAUCGGAAUUACUGGGCGUAAAGCGUGCGCAGGCGGUUUGUUAAGACAGAUGUGAAAUCCCCGGGCUCAACCUGGGAACUGCAUUUGUGACUGGCAGGCUAGAGUAUGGCAGAGGGGGGUGGAAUUCCGCGUGUAGCAGUGAAAUGCGUAGAUAUGCGGAGGAACACCGAUGGCGAAGGCAGCCCCCUGGGCCAAUACUGACGCUCAUGCACGAAAGCGUGGGGAGCAAACAGGAUUAGAUACCCCAGUAGUCCCUGUCUCUUAUAC